GUAUGCGCGCUGUAUGUGUGCAUGCGCAAUGCACACUACGCACUAAAUGCAAGGUGCAGGCACGCAGUGAGUGCCAAAAGGAAGCAUGGGGUCUCUUAGCAAAUGAGGAAUGAUUCCAGCAACUAUGUUUGCAAGUUGGAAAUUGGGAGCGAAUUUGUGUAGUUUGUGUAUCAUGCUUUUGCUUCGCAGUAACAUAGCUUGUGCACCAUUUUCAUCAUCCGCCAAAGUCUACAGUGAUCCUCCUAAUCUAUAUCUGUAGCCAUAGAUCAUGUGCACUGACCUAUGAAAGAAUUCUUCAAGCAGUGUCCUACAGCGAUGUAGAAUGUAUAAAUGAGGCUUUCCUAAAAUUGCAGAAAUAGUAGACAACUGAAGAUUCCAAAAUUAGAACAAAGCACAAUUUCUUAUGGGACUUCUGGUGCGAGGAGGCAUUGAACUUUUGCAUUCUCUUAGCCUGAAGGUGGUUGGGCCAGUGGAUAACCUGCUUUUCUUUGCUAAUUAUGCCUACAUUUGACAAUAUUGUACUUUUGAUUCUGUGCUGUGUAAACUCUAUUUGUAUAUUUUGAAGUUUGUUCAGUUCAUAAAAUUUGCCUCAAAAGCUUCUGGAGUCAACUCUGCCUUGCUUUUUACUUAUUCAGAAUGUCAACACAUUAAAAUCAAAAUUGCUAAUGAUUUUGUCAAAUUUGAGUCUCCUUUCUCCUUGUUUUUCUUUUUUUAAAAUCUGUGUCUGAUUUUAAAUUGGUGGUAAUAUUAAAGUGAUACUUUGCAUAGCUUUGCAAGCUCUUGUUUUAGUGAAUCUAAACGCAGAACUGACAGUUAACAUGAACUAGUUUUGACUUAGUCUUAAAUUUUUUGAUCUAUAAACAAGCAGCAUUUCAGGAAUAAGAAACCUUUGGAAUCUCCAAAUAUUGUUAAUGCUGUGCUGACUGAUAGUUCUGGAAACAGUAGUUUAAUUACAUCUGGCAAUACAAUGUCAUCUGAAAGAGAGGGAAUUUGGGCUUGAUCCAUUUCCCCAUUUGGUUUUCUUAUGCCACUUUUUUUCAUCCUUUCAGCUAGAUUUUGGUAAUCUGCUUGGAGGUGAGGGCUCCCAGGGCUGCAGAAAGAAGCUAUCCAGGGAAUUCAUGCAUCUACUUUAGGAAUUCCCAUUAGUGUUGCCAAUUCUUCUGUCUAGUCAUUAAGACAAAGUGCAGCGUACAAGUAGAUCUGUACUAAAUAUCUAUAUCCUUAACAUGCAUGCUGAGUAGCCUUUCUCCAUAGACUUCAUGCUUACAAAUGAGCAUUCCCCUCCCACCACAAAAAGUAUAUAAAGGAGUUUCCAGGUAGUAAUAAAUGUAGAUUUUGCCUUUUCUCUGAUCAAAGAAGUUAAUUUAGCCAUUUCAACGAAUUCCAUCAUUCUCACCAGUUUUUCCUCCAUUGUGGAUAGUGUCAGAUCUUUCUAUCUUUGUGCAUACAAUUAUCCUGUUGCAGUUACCAUGUAUAAAAACGAAGUUCCGUGACUUUUUUUUCCAACUGUUUUUCUAUCAGUGCCCAAAAGAAAUAUCUCUGAUUUCAGUUGUGCAUCAGUUGUGCAUUUAAAAUCUUCUGGCUCAGUAUAUGUAUUUCAAUUCAGACUAUGCUAGCUUUUUUACACGUUCACCAAACAUGAUAAAAUGUCCCUUGUUGUUCACAUUUCCAACAUAAAUUUGAAGUGCCAUGAUAAAAGGUUCCUUGUUGUUCACAGUUCCAACAUAAAUUUGAAGUGCCUUUUUACAUUCUAGACAAUU